rnacentral:rRNA from 1 species
GUGUCAGCAGCCGCGGUAAGACGAACCGUGCGAACGUUGUUCGGAUUCACUGGGCUUAAAGGGCGCGUAGGCGGAUGGCCAAGUCAAGGGUGAAAGCCCCCGGCCCAACCGGGGAAGUGCCUCUGAUACUGGUCAUCUCGAGCGGGAUAGGGGCAGCUGGAACUUCCGGUGGAGCGGUGAAAUGCGUAGAUAUCGGAAGGAACGCCGGUGGCGAAAGCGAGCUGCUGGAUCCCUCCUGACGCUGAGGCGCGAAAGCCAGGGGAGCGAACGGGAUUAGAUACCCCUGUAGUCC